GACGAACGCUGGCGGCGUGCUUAACACAUGCAAGUCGAGCGGAGCGGCGAACGGGUGAGUAACGCGUGAGUAAGUGCCCCCCUCUCUGGGUUAACAGUUGGAAACGGCUGCUAAUACCGGAAAGUGGGGGAUGAUUCGCGUCCUAUCAGCUAGUUGGUGGGGUAGUGGCUUACCAAGUCGACGACGGGUAGCCGGCCUGAGAGGGCGACCGGCCACAAUGGGCUGAGAGAGGGCCCAAACGCCAACCGGAGGCAGCAGUGGGGAGUAUGACACAACGAGGGAAACCCAGAGGAAGCGGCGCCGCGUGCGGGAAGACGGGCUGCGGGUGGAAAACCGCUUUCAGACAUGACGCGGUAGUGGCAGAAGAAGCACCGGCUAACUACGUGCCAGCCGCCGCGGUAAUUC
rnacentral:rRNA from 1 species